GAUGCGUCCUGGUCGGAUGCGGAACGGAG
rnacentral:snRNA from 1 species